rnacentral:rRNA from 1 species
UACGGAGGGGGCUAGCGUUGUUCGGAAUUACUGGGCGUAAAGCGCACGUAGGCGGCUUUUCAAGUCAGAGGUGAAAGCCCGGGGCUCAACUCCGGAAUUGCCUUUGAAACUGGAUCGCCCGAACACGGGAGAGGUGAGUGGAAUUCCGAGUGGAGAGGUGAAAUUCGUAGAUAUUCGGAGGAACACCAGUGGCGAAGGCGGCUCACUGGACCGUUGUUGACGCUGAGGUGCGAAAGCGUGGGGAGCAAGCAGG